AAACCCCAAUUACGCAUGGGCUGGGUUAACCCUAAUUACGCCCGUUAUAUUGGUGGUCACAUACCGUCCGUCACACGUUAAGAGACUUUUGUAUUUAAACCUUUCACUCCAAUAUUUUCCCUUCAGUUUCUUUAAGUAAAACUUACCCUUCUGUGAACCCUUGUCCACGAAAACCGCCGGCUUUUUUACGAUGCACAAGAGCUGCUGGAUCUGCAGGUGUGAGCCAAAUUCUUUCAAUGUCUCCAUAUUGAGAUAGAAUAUGACGAAGCUUUAAAGGAUCCAUGCGUGGAGGGACCCGGCUCAAGUAGCAGACCCCACGCUUAUCAGCCUUAGCAGCUUCUUUCAUUAACCGUUUUUUCCUUCUAUUUUUUCGUUCUGCCUUUAGUUUAUCUAAUUCUGAAUCUGACAAUUCCUUUGUAGAAUCCUCUUUUUUGACUUGUUCUUCUUCAACCAUUAUGAC
rnacentral:lncRNA from 1 species